AUUGAACGCUGGCGGCAGGCCUAACACAUGCAAGUCGAGCGGAUGAGUGGAGCUUGCUCCAUGAUUCAGCGGCGGACGGGUGAGUAAUGCCUAGGAAUCUGCCUGGUAGUGGGGGACAACGUUUCGAAAGGAGCGCUAAUACCGCAUACGUCCUACGGGAGAAAGUGGGGGAUCUUCGGACCUCACGCUAUCAGAUGAGCCUAGGUCGGAUUAGCUAGUUGGUGAGGUAAAGGCUCACCAAGGCGACGAUCCGUAACUGGUCUGAGAGGAUGAUCAGUCACACUGGAACUGAGACACGGUACAGACUCCGACGGGAGGCAGCAGUGGGGAAUAUUGGACAAUGGGCGAAAGCCUGAUCCAGCCAUGCCGCGUGUGUGAAGAAGGUCCUCGGAUUGUAAAGCACUUUAAGUUGGGAGGAAGGGCAGUAAGUUAAUACCGUGCUGUUUUGACGUUACCAACAGAAUAAGCACCGGCUAACUUCGUGCCAGCCGCCGCGGUAACAC
rnacentral:rRNA from 1 species